CCCUUCCCAGGCCUCAUUUAAAGAUUGACAGUGGAGGAAAGACUAUCUUGCUGGGGAUCUCUGCCUACCUGAGGUCUUUUGAAGUUUUGUGACUGCACGCUGUGGGCCCUUACGUGGACAGACACUACCAGAGGAGCUGGCCUGUUGAGCAUCUCAUAAAUAGGAGUCCAGUAGCAGGUCCAAAGUGGUGAAUCUCACAAAUGCAGGCACCAGGGCUUUCUUUGAAGGGAUGAAGGAUAUUGAAUCCUUAGAAGACUUAAGUCAUUAAACUCUAUCAUGUGUCAAGUUUUAUGCAGACCCUGAUCACUCAUGCCACAGAACCCAAGCUGCUUUUUAGGGGAAAAAAAAGAACUUGUUAAUACUUCUAAUUCAUAAUAAUAAUUCAUAAAAGCA